AUGCUGCUCACCACCUCUCCCUGCCAGGCACCAAUUGGCUUGCCGGAGAGCACCAUGGUCAUUUAUGGCCUUGCGCGGGCAGGACCUGCCCACUGGCACCCUGUCCGUCUGUCCAGGCAGCUGGCAGAGCUCUGCGUGGCACCGCGAGCUACGCGCCGAGCUAUUUUUGAGAAGCCCGGGCUGCAUCCCAAGAAUAGCGUACUCUAUUUCUGGCGCAAAAUGAUCUUCCUGGGUGGGGGACGCGGGGAUUUUUUUCAUAAGAAAUGCAUGGGUUUGUGCUCGCAGUCGGUGAGAGAAACAACUGGAUGCAACUGGAAGAGAAGGGCAAAAAAAGGCAUGGAGAGCUCACGGCCGAGGAGCUCUUACGCAGGGGGAGAGCUCGGUGCUUGCUUCCACCACCAGCUUGUAAGGGCUGAUAUCCUUCAAACCAAUACCAAUUCCCAAAUUCCAGGUGGCACAACAAUGCUGUGACUACGACACUCAUGCUGGUGCUGAUGAAAUUCUUGUUCUUUGAAACCUGCUCUUACUCCCCACUCACCUGUGCACCAGGAAGAUCUCUUCCAAAAUCAUAAAUCCAAAGUGGAUAUGCUUCCAAACCUAGCACAAGACUGCUGACAGCUUUUCUUUUUUUGAUAUCCUGCGGGAGUGUUUAUUUUUUUGAGGCUGAUGAAAAAUUUCCACUUUGAUUUCCAAUCAGGGCUGAUAUAAUAAUGUCUGCGUAUAAAAACUUGGCUUCCAGGGGGUAAGGAUGCAAAAUGCUUCCCUUACACUUACUACCAAAGCAUAGAAGAAAGGGGAGAACAAUCUCAUUUAGAAAAAGAACUAGGUCUGUUUGUAGGUAGAUACAGACUCAGGAGGCUGGGCUGGAGCUGUUUCCCAUCAACUUUUUCUGGUUACCAAUGGUAGCAGAUGUAAAGAUACAAACCUAUUCCUAAGGCCAGCACAGGCUAUUUUGAUCAUGUGGUCUGAGACCUGCAUAAUGUAAGCCAAACUUCUGGUUGAAAAGUUUAUAUCCUUUAGAAGGACACUGUCCUGAUGGAAAUUUUUAAAUAACGGGGAUAUCAUUUUUACAGAAGAAUUUUUGGAUGGUGCUUUAGUGGAAAGAGCAGAUGACAGUCAGAAAUCAUUGAUUUUCAGCAUGGUUCUGUUUUUCUUUCACAGAGUCACCUCCUGGUUUACUACCUCAGUUUAGUUUUCU
rnacentral:lncRNA from 1 species